AGGUGGUGCAUGGUUGUCGUCAGCUCGUGUCGUGAGAUGUUCGGGUUAAGUCCCGCAACGAGCGCAACCCUCGACCUUAGUUGCCAGCAUUCAGUUGGGCACUCUAAGGUGACUGCCGGCUAAAAGUCGGAGGAAGGUGGGGAUGACGUCAAAUCAUCAUGCCCCUUAUGACCUGGGCUACACACGUGCUACAAUGGGCGGUACAAAGGGUCGCGAACCCGCGAGGGGGAGCCAAUCCCAAAAAAGCCGCUCUCAGUUCGGAUUGCAGGCUGCAACUCGCCUGCAUGAAGCCGGAAUCGCUAGUAAUCGCGGAUCAGCAUGCCGCGGUGAAUACGUUCCCGGGCCUU
rnacentral:rRNA from 1 species